rnacentral:antisense_RNA from 1 species
CUCUAUGGCAGCUGUGCGCGGGACACCUUCGGGUGUGCCGGGUUCCUGUGACCGGUCGACCAACCUGCGUACAGCUGCCUCCUAU